AGAGGCAGGGGCUUUGGCAGCCUGAUUGAGCAUCAGGUCCUCAAAGAAAUUUCUUCUCUCUCGCCUGCAAGGGGCUUGGACAUGGUAAACCUCCCCAUACUCUACCUUAAACAACUCCUGAACCUGCAGAGAAAACAGAGCAUGGAGAACAGCAGGAGCCAGAUGGGAGGUUUGACCUGAGCCGUGUCGACCCUCCAAAAGGAGCCUGGGACGCUGGGACCAUCUUGGACAUGGCAGACAUGAAGUCUUUAGCUGUGAUUGCAAUAGAAUCAACAUCAAGCACAAGUUUCUCUGAUGAGGAGUAAAUUUGUGGAUAGCGGCGCCGUAGUGCACAUAGUGCCGCCUCUGAACACACCGCCUUGAUGUCUGCUCCACAAUAACCUGCAAGGGAGCAAUGGUCACCUGUGAAUCUGGUCCUGACGACUGGACCUGACUGGAGCCAAACCAUCAAUUUCAUCAAAGAAAAUGAUAGAUGGACGCAUUUGGUAAGCCUAGAUGAAAGUGAAAAUGUAGUGUUGAAGGGAAAGCAUAUUAAAGUGCUAUAUGGUAAAUAUAAACUAAUUCAAGGUGCACCAAAAUAAAGCAAGAGUGAGAUUUUAUCUGUGAUGAUGAAAGCUUGACAAAAGAUGAAAGAAAUUGUGUUGAUGAUUUUG